AUGCAAGUCGAACGAUGAACCACUUCGGUGGGGAUUAGUGGCGAACGGGUGAGUAACACGUGGGCAAUCUGCCCUUCACUCUGGGACAAGCCCUGGAAACGGGGUCUAAUACCGGAUAUGAGCCUGGGAGGCAUCUCCUGGGUUGUAAAGCUCCGGCGGUGAAGGAUGAGCCCGCGGCCUAUCAGCUUGUUGGUGAGGUAAUGGCUCACCAAGGCGACGACGGGUAGCCGGCCUGAGAGGGCGACCGGCCACACUGGGACUGAGACACGGCCCAGACUCCUACGGGAGGCAGCAGUGGGGAAUAUUGCACAAUGGGCGAAAGCCUGAUGCAGCGACGCCGCGUGAGGGAUGACGGCCUUCGGGUUGUAAACCUCUUUCAGCAGGGAAGAAGCGAGAGUGACGGUACCUGCAGAAGAAGCGCCGGCUAACUACGUGCCAGCAGCCGCGGUAAUACGUAGGGCGCAAGCGUUGUCCGGAAUUAUUGGGCGUAAAGAGCUCGUAGGCGGCUUGUCACGUCGAUUGUGAAAGCCCGAGGCUUAACCUCGGGUCUGCAGUCGAUACGGGCUAGCUAGAGUGUGGUAGGGGAGAUCGGAAUUCCUGGUGUAGCGGUGAAAUGCGCAGAUAUCAGGAGGAACACCGGUGGCGAAGGCGGAUCUCUGGGCCAUUACUGACGCUGAGGAGCGAAAGCGUGGGGAGCGAACAGGAUUAGAUACCCUGGUAGUCCACGCCGUAAACGGUGGGAACUAGGUGUUGGCGACAUUCCACGUCGUCGGUGCCGCAGCUAACGCAUU
rnacentral:rRNA from 1 species